rnacentral:rRNA from 1 species
GCAAGUCGAGCGCGCCCUUCGGGGUGAGCGGCGGACGGGUUAGUAACGCGUGGGAAUAUGCCCCUGGGUACGGAACAACAGCUGGAAACGGCUGCUAAUACCGUAUGAUGUCUUCGGACCAAAGAUUUAUCGCCCAGGGAUUAGCCCGCGUUGGAUUAGCUAGUUGGAGAGGUAACGGCUCACCAAGGCGACGAUCCAUAGCUGGUUUGAGAGGAUGAUC